rnacentral:rRNA from 1 species
UACGAGGGGGGCAAGCGUUGUUCGGAAUUAUUGGGCGUAAAGGGCGCGUAGGCGGUUUGACAAGUCUGAUGUGAAAUCUAUGGGCUCAACCCAUAGCCUGCAUUAGAAACUGUCGGGCUUGAGUAUGGGAGAGGUGAGUGGAAUUUCCGGUGUAGCGGUGAAAUGCGUAGAUAUCGGAAGGAACACCUGUGGCGAAAGCGGCUCACUGGACCAUAACUGACGCUGAGGCGCGAAAGCUAGGGGAGCAAACGGG